GUUGUAUGCAUAUGGAGCUGCAUGUUAUUCCUGCUUAAGGAGAGCAAGAAGCGAUUCUUUAUUUUUGACAGAACUCUGAGCACAAAUGCAGUAAUUGUCAGACUCCCGUGCAGCGUGAGAGUGAGAAAAAGGGAGGGAGAGAUGGAUGGAUGGAGGGGGUGGAAAGAACUGCGAGAGGGAGGGCAAGCGUGUGUGUGCAUAUGUGCGAGCGUGUGAGAGAAAGAGAGAGAGAGCGCACAGUGUUCAAUACUCAGAACAUCUAGACAUUGUGCCGGCUGCGAGACAAUUAGACCCACAAUCCAGAACUGACACACGGAUUAAACAAGCAGAAUAAGGUUUGGUCAGCUUUUCAGACUGGAUGUGGAGUGUGGAUUGCGUGUGCAAGUCUGAAAGUUGUCCAGGAUGCGAGCGCUUGUGGAGGAUGAGCUAAACGGAGCGGUGCACGGCGGGAUUCUUCGAGGUUGGAGCGCAGCUGCUGCCUCCAGUCACUGACGGGAGGACCUUGCGCACGGAGAGCUGCCUCCGUCUCUGUCUCUCUCUCUCUCUCUCUUUCCUUUUCCAGUCUCGCAGAGAUAGGCAGCAUCCUUCAGACUCGGCACUGAAAACAGCGGACGUUCAAGGAAAAGGGAAAAAGACUGGAUUAUAAAAGCAGGGAGUAAUCAAGGGGAAAUUUGAAGGAAGGACCUAAAAAAGAUUUGAAAAUAGAUUUGCAUCUCAGGCUCUUGUGUUUGUUGUUUUGAGGAGGGCUAAAUCGAAGAGAUUUGGGUCGUGCAUUGCUUUGCUUCAGCCAGCCUGUGGAGUAUAGGAUCACAAAUAGCAAUUCAAGGCCAUGGACAUCACCUCUUCUCUUGCCCCUAGCCUGACCAUGACAAACUGUUCUGGUUUUAUGUGAUCCUGCUGUGAAUUCUGCUGUUGCAGCGGUCUUCCGCGAGCGAAAAAUAUAAGAAAUCAUCCCACGCGUUGGCAUCUGUAUUCGGAAGGCCUGACAGGUAAGAUGCAUUUUAAUUGUACGGAGGUUUUGUAGAUGGGUGAAAGUCAGGAGUCGGCAUUAUAGAUGGCCUGGUGGUGGUGAUGUGAGAGAACUUUCAGGCCUCUCCACGGAGCUGGUUAUUUUUAUGCUUGCAUACAUUUUACUUUUAUGCCUUGCACACACACAAAUGAUUCAUUUUCACAUCAUUGUUGCAAUUUUUUUGUCCUAAGGUAGUAAUAUGUAUCUGAUGGUAUUAUUGCUGACUACAGCUCUUUGCAUGCUGAAGUUUUGGUGUA
rnacentral:lncRNA from 1 species